UACGAGGGGGGCGAGCGUUGUUCGGAAUUAUUGGGCGUAAAGGGCGCGUAGGCGGUCGGAUAAGUCUUGUGUGAAAUCUUCGGGCUCAACUCGAAGUCUGCACAGGAAACUAUCUGGCUUGAGUGUGGGAGAGGUGAGUGAAAUUCCUGGUGUAGCGGUGAAAUGCGUAGAUAUCAGGAGGAACACCUGUGGCGAAAGCGGCUCACUGGACCACAACUGACGCUGAGGCGCGAAAGCUAGGGGAGCAAACAGG
rnacentral:rRNA from 1 species